UGCCUACGGGGGGCAGUAGUAGGGAAUCUUCGGCAAUGGGGGAAAGCCUGACCGAGCAACGCCGCGUGAAUGAAGAAGGCCUUCGGGUUGUAAAAUUCUGUUCUAAGGGAAGAAAGGUGAUAGGAGGUAAUGACUAUCAAUUGCCGGUACCUUAUGAGAAAGCCACGGCUUACUACGUGCCAGCAGCCGCGGUAAUACGUAGGUGGCAAGCGUUAUCCGGAAUUAUUGGGC
rnacentral:rRNA from 1 species